rnacentral:lncRNA from 1 species
AAAAGCGAGGGAGACACUGACAGUGAGAUUGAAUGGCACUGCCACCACCAGAGGAAUAACUGGAAAAGGAAGCAGGAGGGCACUUGGGUACAAGGGAAAUGAUAAGAAAAGUAUAAAGCCACAGGAGCAGAAUGUUACCUCCUUUCUGUCCUCCUCUUUGUUCUUAUGGCCCAGUUGUCUUCCUCUUGAUCCUGUCUUUGCACAUGAAUAAUGGGUAUGGUUGUCCCUGGAGUCUGGGAUAACUAGGACAAUGCCAGGCAUGUAGGUUCCAGCCAUAUAGACCAUUGAAUCUGAUGAAAGAUAUACCCCUACUGAAAUGCACUGAAUAUUUUUGAACACCUACCAUUUCUAAGAGGAUAUGAUUUGAAAGCCAGGAUAGGAAGAUUUGAUGCAAAUCUGAUUGUUGCAUGGGGCCUUGGAGAAUAUCCUGGAAAAGCAUAUACCUUUGAUCCUGGGUUAUGAUUUCAAUUAGAUUUUUCCUACUAUGUCAAAUGGUGAU